CACACUCACACACUCCAAACCCUAUGAGGCAUGACACUACUGACAGGGUUUUGUGGAAAGAUUGUGUUAGAAAUAGAUUGUAUCCCACCUUCUAGAAGUUUCCAAUCAUAACCAUCUCACCAAGAUCCAUCAAAUACACAGAUGCAGUAGCCAUGGAUUGAACUAAUGGGACCCUACAAUCUAAAUGACACUCAAAGCUCACAUCUUUAAAGUACUUCUAUUGCUGAAGUAAAAUCUUUUCUCCAGACACAUGGGUUUGAAUUAUGGUGUAGAGCUUUUAAAAGGUUCCAAUCAAAUACAGAUGAGAAUGGAUAGACACCAUCAUUAAAACCUCAGUGCAAAAGAGUUUCUUAGAAAACACAAUGUGAACUUGCAGAAAGGAGAAUCAGGACCUAAAAAAAUGUGAGUUGGAAGUGGGUGAUCAAUAGUGAGGGUGCAGCUUUAAAUGGAGAAGGGUGGAGGUCAGAAUAGAGAAGCUGAGAGCUACCCAAUUGUACCUUCCAGUAACUUGGGUGGCAUGGGACAGGAGAAGGAACCAUGUGCUGAGGCACAGAGACAACAGCAUGUUUUAGAAAGGAGUUUAUUAUACUGACAAGUUGGAGGGAGGAUUUCCAAGAUGCAUCUGCUACUGAGGGCUGGUAGACUCCGUAGACAGGGUCAUCAUAGCCUUAAUGCCCACUAAAAUGUGUUAAUUCAUUUGAAUAUGGAGAAAUGGUAAGCUUUUAAGCUAUAUUAAUGUUCUUGUAUAUUAUGAUUGUUAACAUUCAUUGUGAACUUGACAGAAUGUAAAAUCACCCAGGAGAGGAACCUCUGGCUGUAUCUAUUAUAAGAGAUUAUUUAGAUUAGGUUCUCUAUACCUGGAUGUGGGCAGCACCUUUCCACAGAUUAGGGUCCUAGAAUGAAUAAAAAGGAGAAAGCAAGCUGAGCUCAUUAUUGUCUUUCUCUGCUUCCUGACCAUGAACACAGUCUAACCAGCUGGUUGCUAGGCUGCUGUCACUUCUGCCUCACCGUGACCGACUGUACCCUGAACUGUGAGUCAAAAUAUCUCCUUUUACUUCAGCUGAUUUUCCAUAGCAACAGCCAGUGCUGACUGCUUCUACCCUGAGAUUCUGUUGAAGAGUGCCACUGGAUCCUUCCAGCAUGGAAGAAAUUGUGAAUCCUGGCAUUAUAAUUAUAUAGGAACAGCCAGAUUACAGGGCACACCUAUAAUCCCAGCACUCUGGAGGCUGAGGCAGGGGGAUAUGAGGUACCGGUACCUUCUACACAAUGAGACUCCCUUCCGAAGCAAAAGUUAGCAAUGCCAUGAAGCAGUGUGCCAGCCGGUACAGGCUCCCUCGGCCAAUACUUGGCCUCUUGAUGGUUGACAUGCUGUUGUUGCCUUUUGGCCUUUACCAUGUCUCUCGUCUAACUGUUUUGGACACAGUGUGCAUGCAGAGGCAGCCAAGAAGAAAGAGCAGCCGGGUGAAGAUGCCCAGCAUGUCCGGGGAAUGGGUAAGGAUAGACUGCAGGGAGAGAAUGGUGCCAUGAUUGGUUAGAGGUUGAUGGAGAAAUCUCUGCAUGUCAGUCUUGAAGCUUCAUUAUAAGAGAGAGAAGAGACUAGAAGUCACUCCACCAGUGAGCAGAUUUAUUAACUACAUAGAGAAAGCUCUAAGCCACAUCCUGUGUUGUCAUUCAAGACUUAAAGGAGAUACUGCAAAGGGUACUUUGAAUUUUUCACAAGAAAUCCAAAAUUGCUAUGAUGGUGUGUGAGAUGCUGUACUGAGUACACCCUCUGGGUGGUCAUUCUUUGGGGGUGUGGCCAUCCACACAAGUCUAGUUUGGUUAACACUUCACAUAAGAAUCCUGACUUUCUUCUCUUAAGAUCCAGUGGGCUGCGGCUCUUCACCCCCUCCCCCUUUCUCAGUCUUCUCUGAACAUCCCCUUGCCUUUUGAGACAUAUGGUCUCUGCUGGGGUAGGCAUAAGCCUGCUUAGGCUAGCUAAGUCUACAAGCAGUGACCUGUCAUCCUUGAGGCUGCAGAGGUGGUACCAAGAGCACUUAUGGGGGACUGCGGCCCGUCAGUAAACAGCUCUGUUUUAAACAGCUGCAUUUCACUCUUGCAAAGGACUUGAAACAUAAACUUCCUGGAGGGAUUUGAAAGCGCCAUGAUUGCACGAUCCUCUGGUUUCUGUUUCUUCCCCUGCCCCCAUCCUUUUCCACAAACUAAAUGUACUCUUUGUCUCCUGUGCUGCCAUGGAAACAAGCGAUGCACCUCACAAAGGUAACAAUUCAUUCCGCAGGCCACAGUCCCUCAAGUAGAUUCCUGUUCCUCUCAACCAGGCAUGCAGGAAAGAUUGAAAUCUGUAGCUGCCUGGAGGGUGUGUGUGUGUGUGUGUGUGUGUGUGUGUGUGUGUGUGUGUCUGUGUCUGUGUCUGUGUGUCUGUGUGUGUGUCUGUGUGUGUGUCUGUGCGCUUACCUGGGUCACCAUGUGAGUUUUCCUUACUGCCCAUUAGUGAUGUGGUUGUCGCUAGAAAUUACGGAUGAUCUAGAAAGAGACUGGCUCAAAAGAUCACGAGUGACUUCUCAUUGGUUACUACAGUGAAAUGUUUGGGAUCUUGGAAUAAUACAUUUGAGCUCAUCACAACUCUCAAAGGGGAAAGUAAUUCCUCCCUGGUUUACAUUUCCUCUUGCAAGUGUCACUUCCAAGUUUAUCAUCAGAAAAAUCCUUUAGUAAGGGAGAGAAGAAACUCGAGACUUGGGUCCUUUUCCAAAGAUAUUAUACAGCGCCCUUUCUUUUUUAGCCUUGCAGAACUGUGGACUUUUUGUCAGUUAAUGCUGCUGGAUUGACUAUGUCCAACCCAAUAGUAAGUUCUCUAAGCAUGGGCCUUGGGUCCAAUGCUUCACUGCAUAUGUACCUGCCACGAUGCUUGCUGUGGCUGAAUUGCUUUCUAAAAAUAGCCAUGUUUUGUCUCAGUCCCCAGGACACUGACCCUUUUAGGCACUAAGCAUCAAUUAGCAAGAAGUCUGUAGCUGUGGGGAUCCUUUUCAUGCUCAAUCCACGUCCCACUAGCUUCUACAUCAGUGUAAAGCCUUGAGAACGGGAGCCAAGAGGAAGAUGAACAUCAUCAAAAUGAGGCAAAACUGAAGGGGUGGGAACGUGGUGAUGGGCUCAGGGUAAUCGUACGCCACUGUGCUGAUCCCAAACUGGCACAGAAGCUCCUAGUGACUGACUCCGUGCCAGGAGGGACGUGCGGGAGUCACAAGGCACACUUUCUGUGUGAAUCUAGACACAAACUUUCACUCCUUUAAGAAAAAUUGUGGGGUUUGAGUUGGUUGAGGGCUUUGCUGUUGGUAGACCAGCUAGGGAAAAUACACUAGAUGUGUCUGGAAAUUCUGUCCAUAACUUUGCUCCUUAAGACUCAAGCUUCAAGAGAUUUUAUCACUUCAACAUAAUAACCAUUCUUUAUAAAACUUGAAAUAAAAAUGAGAAUUCUUUAUUUGUAAGACAGGAUUUUAGUAUAUACAUACAUACAUACAUAUAUACAGAUAUUUAUACAUAUAUGUAUCUGUAUGUAAAAAAUCAUGAGAUAUUUUGUAUGCUAACAUUAAGAUUAAUUUAAAGAUAUUCAAAGUAGAUAUCUUUCUUAUAUAGUCAACUACUACAUUAAAUAAUGUCAUUCCAGGUCUAGUUCAUGAUAACGAUAUCCCAGCUUGUUCCCGUAAUCCCUGCAAAGACUUGCAGGAGCCUUUCAGAGAUGGACCCACUGUGUUGGACACAGAGAAGAACACAAUAUUCUAUAAGGCCUGAAGGAAAAAAAAGAAUAACUGCUUUGUGCAUGAAAUACUUUAUCCAUGACUCACUUUUUGCCCAAAAUAUAUCGAAGUGAAUCCAAAGUAAAUGCUAUGUCUAGCAUGCUGGCACGACUCCUAAAACUCUGAAUGUCCUUCUCAGCAGAAUGCACAGUGCAUUGCCAUCAUCAAUCAUGACAGUGCUCUCUCCCACUUCACUUGGAGGGUCCAGCUCCAAAGGGCUCUCUGGAAGGCUAACGGCAUCCUGCUUUCCCUCAGAGUUUUUGGCUCUGCUAUGAUGAUUUUAGCACUUUCUGCCUUGUAUUGUUUUUGGCAACUGUUACAAGUAUGUGAGGUUUUUUUUUUUUUAAUUUUUAUUUUAAAAUUUUUUUACUUCAGUAUGAUUUCAAAAGUCAACAGGAGACAAGCUUCUCAUGGCUCCACUAACCCAUCCCAGCUCUAGCCCAGGGAAACACUCACUGACUAAUUGGUGAUUAGUGUUAUUGGGCAUCCAGUUGGUCUGGGCACUUGGUAGUACAUAGGGCACCAAUGCUUCUCUGCCUAGGCUCAUGAUGAAGCCUGUCUUUGUAAGCAUCACUAACUGAUAACAUUUCUUUCUUCUUAUUUUUUUUACUAGAUGUUUUCUUCAUUCCAUUUCAGAUGUUAUCCCCUUUCCUAGUUUCCUCUCCGAAAGUCCCAUAUACCCUCCCUCUCUCCCUGCUCCCCAACCCACCCACUCCCACUUCCUGGCCCUGGCAUUCCCCUAUACUGGGGCCUAGAAUCUUCGCAAGACCAAGGGCCUCUCCUUCCACUGAUGGCUGAUUAGGCCAUCCUCUGCUACAUGUGCAGCUAGAGACAUGAGCUCUGAGGGUACUGGUUAGAGACAAAGUUUGGAGCAGAGACUGAAGGAAGGACCAUCCAGAGAAUGCCCUACCCAGGGAUCCAUCCCAUAAACAACCACUAAACCCAGACACUAUUGCAUAUACCAACAAGAUUUUGCCGACAGGACCCUGAUAUAGCUGUCUCCUGUGAGGCUAUGCCAGUGCCUGGCAAAUACAGAAGUGGAUGCUCACAGUCUUCUUUUGGAUGGAACACAGGGUCCCCAACGAAGGAGUUAGAGAAAGUACCCAAGGAGCUGAAGGGGUCUGCAGCUCUAUAAGAGAAGCAUUUCUUUCUUUCUUUCUUUCUUUCUUUCUUUCUUUCUUUCUUUCUUUCUUUCUUUCUUUCUUUCUUUCUUUCUUCCUCUCUCUCUCUCUCUCUCUCUCUCUCUCUCUCUCUCUCUCUCUCUCCCCCUCCCUCCCUCCCUCCCUCCCUCCCUCUCUCUCCCCCUCUCUCUCUCUCUCUCUCUCUCUCUCUCUUUUCUUUCUUUUUUUUGUUUUUUUGUUUUUUUUGUUUUUUUUUUGUUUUUGUUGUUGUUGUUUUGAGACAGAGUUUCUCUGUAUAGCCCUGGCUGUCCUGGAACUCACUUUGUAGACCAGGCUGAUCUCAAAGUGCUGGGAUUAAAGGUGCGCGCCACCACGCCUGGCUAGUAGAAGCAUUUCUUGUCCAGGCGUAGAGCUGUUACUUCCUAUGGUACAGCUGAAAGGUUUCAGAGAAGAGAAAGCACAGAUGCUUCAAGAAGUUGCUGCUGUUUUCUGUGGUGGUGGGAGUUAGAUUUGUUUCAAAAUGUUGGUCAGUGUCUGUAAAUGUAUGAGGCAGAGAGAACCAGUAUUGUCUGUUCAUUGUUUGGGGCUGAAGUAUGGCUAUUGAUAUAUUCCAUGUUUUCAAACUGCAAUGUCAAAACAAAGCCUCUCUUAGUUUUACACCAGCCUUCUUCUACUGUUAGUGGCUUUAGGGACUUCAGUAAGUCUUAAACGUCUUUCCAGUAUCUGACUGUAAGUUAUCCCCCUCCUUUCAAAUUUUCUCUGUUUUCAGAACACUCUGAGGCUCUGAUCUUCUACCUCACAUCUGCUUGACUUGUGUUGUCCAUGUAGUAACAAAAGCUGUGUCCUGUUCAGACCAACAUACAGCCUUUGCCUUCUCCCCUUUUCCUUCCGUCCCUUCCUCUUCCACAACUCACCCCCAUCCUCCUUUGUGGUUUCUUCCUUCCCUGUCCCUUCCUCCCUCCAUCUCUUUCUUUUUAAUGCUGAGAACGGAAACAAUCAUUUCCCUUUCAGUGUCUAUGCAUCCGUCUCCUUCCCCUUGGCAUGCUCUCCCUCCCAGGACUCCCCUCUCUCAUAGCUAGCUCUCCUUUUCCUUUCAUCUCUGAGGGUGGAUCCAGCAGAGGUCUUUUUCAUGACUGCUACAUCUAAGGAUAUGGCUAUUGUCUGUCCACAAUUACUUGCCAGUUUCCUUUACAAUAUUUAUAAUUUCAAAUAACUCUAUUAAUUAAGUUCCAUUUUUAAAGUCUGAUCUCCCAUGUUAUAAAAUAACCUAUAGGGAAAGGCUUAGAGGACAUGGCUGUUUUUUGACCAAUGCAUAUUAUCUUUAGUAUGACUUGAAGAAAUCUGCCAGAGAGAGGAGUGUUUAAAGCAAAUAAAAAACGCCUCUAAGAAACUUGGAGAUGCUGAAUGAUAUUCUGAUGGUAGAAGGAGUUGUCUUUUCUCUUAGCUCACAUGUCAUUAUUUUUCCAUUUUCCUGCACUGAAUGCAUACCACCUAAAAGCAGAUUAAAGUGGGCGCUCACUGCAUAUCUCUGCCCUUGUUAACCACACCCCACAUUCUUGGGUGAAAGAUUUUCAGUCUAGAACAUUCCACUUAACCAGCCCCAGUGGACAGGAUCAAGGCAGACAGUGGGCUCGAACUGAGUGUUUUAACUACUUUUUAGCAAUGGACAAUCAAAACAAGGGUUCUUCCUGCCCCCCAGUCCCGAGUAUUUGAAGGGAGAGAAAUGGCUGCUCAGGGCUCUUCCUGCCCUCCAGUCCGGAGUAUUUGAAGGGAGAGAAAUGGCUGCUCUGGUGCUUUUGAAGAUUGGCUCACAUAGGCUCGUGCAUUUGAAUGCUUAGUUACCAGGGAGUGGAUUAGGAGGUGUGACCUUGUUGAAGGAAAUGUGUCACUUUUUUGAGGUUUCUUAGCUACUUCUCCAGCACUACCUCUAACUGCCACCAUGCUCCCUGGUGUGGUGGUGAUGGACUAAGCUCCUGCAACUGUAAACGAGGCACCAAUUAAAUGCUUUCCCUUAUAAGAGUUUCCUUGACCAUGGUGUCUCUUCACAGUGAUAGAACAGUGACUAAGUCAGCUGGUCUCCUGACUGUGUCUCCUAAGACAGUCAUCCUUAGUGACACACAGGAAGAGACAGAGAAAGCAUGGGUCAUCUGCAGGAUGUAGGAGAAUGGAACUGACUCAGAGGGCACACCAGGAAGAGAGGACAGGCAGGGAAAGUCUCUAGCUUUCCAAGACUGGCUUCCAGCAUUUAGGGGGACUCGUGAGAUCCCUACAAUUUACCUUUCCACACUUGACCACAGGCCCACUUUGAAUCUUUUGUUCACUGGAGCCUUUUUAAGAAAGCUCCUGCUGUGUAAACAAACUACUUCUAUCUAAUUAAAACAAAGAUGAAAACAAGCUAACAAUUGCAUUCAAAUUAAAAUUUUUAUAGAAUAAAUGAAAAUGAAAAGCUAAGCACACACAUUUAUUUUGGUGUCCUUUUUAACUUUACAAGUUAUCCCAGCUCUUCCACAGCCUUUCUGGAAGAGGAACACUCUUGAUCAAGAAUGAGCCGUGUUCUCCACAGCAAAGGCAGAACAGGGUUACUUCCUGUUGUCUCCACAUGUCUGUAUGGCUAGUCAAGGUAGGUCCCAAGAUUACAUCUCCACCAUUCUCUCUUCAGUGCAAAAGAGCAGUCUGGAAAUGAACCGUCUAUGGGAGUCGUGUUUGGACACCUGAGGAUUGCAAUGUGCAAACUGGUUUGGGCACAAUCACCUGGAUAGAAGAUCAGGAGGAGCCCUUUAGGACCCUGCAGGGUCCAGCUCGUUAACUACAUCACGUGAGAAUGUUUGGGAUUCACCUGAAUCUUCCAGCUGAGGCAGCUGAAAAAGCCAACAUCGAGUCACAGAGACUGAACUCUGCAGAGGAAAUGGCAGUUUUCAUCAGCAUGCACUUGGGCACGCACUUGAAAAGGGCUUGGAUCCUCCCACCAGCUUUCCGACAUGGCUUUGCUGCAGAGCCGGAGCCACUUGAGUCCACAGAACAGCUCUGGUGCUGUCCAUCUGCCACAGUCCUUCCUCUUGUCUGAGUAAAAACAAUGCACCUGUCUGUGGGAAGCCAGCACCACCCUGCAACGAGCAUAUUCUCUUAUCUUCUAGCCCCCUCCCCUCAAGGCCCUUCUCUCUUCCCAACAAUGUCCUUGCUAUUCUAUGCCUUUUCCAUCUGUUUAGCGUGGCCCACUGCAUUUCCCUAGGAUUGCCUGCAUAGGUGUGGGUGAUAGGACUAUUCAGUUGGGCAAGGGCAUCUCACCAGUGACUACACCACUAAAGAAUAUGAUCUCUGUCCCCACAGCAAGCACCAACUGCCUACAUCUCCUCAGGGACGAGUGGGACCUUAUGGGGAAAACCCCCAACUAUUCCUAGAAGUCAAGAAGUAACAUCUAGAGUUUCACUAAUCAGAAAAGCUCCUGUCUCUACUGGACUGUGCUGAUGUCGAGGAACAGCUAAAUGGCAGAUAUGGGGGUCCCAUUCAAUGUCCUUAUCAGGAGACACAGGCUUAGGUUCAUCUCUUAACUAGUAUGACAAGGCUGAAGCAUACCAGGACAAUACAGAGCCAGUGAGUCUGAUCUUAAAAUGGCAAAGUAGCAGAUGGGAAUGGGUGGAGCAGGCAGCAAGGUGGCACAAGAGCCAUAAGUGCACAGAAUUAUGGGGAACCCCUGGCCUUCUAUGAAGUUCUGACUGGAGAUCUAGAGGCAAGAAGGGGCCCUUGGGCUCACAGGUAGGUCAAAGCUGAGCAUUUUACUCAGGGGGUCAAUAAGGUAGAGGUGGGGACAUUUGCUUAACUACAAGCAUCCUCCAAACAAGCAUGGAUCACAAUUAACUAGAUGCACGUGCCACAUGUUACCUCGGUGAAAUCUGGCCAGCACAGGCAUGCUAUCGACACUAGUAUCUAUGUGUUAGACUCUGUCCUAUAGAGAUUUUGUUCUCAUAAAUUGCAAGGAGUAGUCAUGGCAUUUAUGAAGUCACUGGCAUCAAAUAGGACAGGAUAACAAUGAUGACUAUAAAAAUGCCUAGAAGUGAUUGACUCUUGGGGAAAACGCACAGUGUACUAACGGGCAAGUGUGCUAAGUUUAGUGGGGUGGUCAGGAAAGCCUUCCCAGAGGCUGGGGUGGGGGGCACAGAUGCCAGCCUGCAAAAAGGGUAGCUACAAGUGAGGGCUCAGGGACUGUGGAGAUGGAAUGGACCACUUGCUUUUCUUGCUGGAGGCUGACAGUGUUUUUUGUCUCUCUGUGUGCUGCUGUAAGAGCGAGCAAGGACAUCUGCCUGUAUUCUACAUGCUUUUAAUUCCUGGUCAGAUUCUCACUACAUGAGCAUAUCUCUUUUGACUGGGUAGGUUUCUGAAAGGCACUCAAGAUACAACAUAUGCCGCCCUGCAGGGAUGAAAAGCCAGAGACGGCAGGUACUCCUACUGAAGAGCCACAUUGCAAAACACAAUUCUUCUUCAUUUAGCCUUCCCUGAACUGGAACAGGACCCUGCCAGCCAGCCUGUAGCACAGUGUACCUUUUCUGUGUUCCAUGCUGCCCUAACAACAUAGCAAGUAGGAGGUCCUGGCGUGUGUGUGCAAUUUGGAGACAGGUUUUGUGCUCAGCUGCUAAGCCUUCUGGUGUUCAGCCACGGGGACAUACGGUGCUGAACCCUCGGAAUCUGUAGGAUUGGGAGGAAGAGGGUGGAAAAAUAAAAUAGGUUUCCAAAUUGCUUUCACCCAACAACUGACUCCUUUUAGUUUAAAUGCAUUCUGCUUGUUGGGGUGUGGUACUGAUCCCUAGGUAUGGCAAAGAGAAGACGGUUUUGAUUUUCAGCUUAUCAGUACAGCCAUUCAACAGUGGCUGUAUCAAGGCCCUACUAAGUACAACAUACUGUGGUAUCAUAUAGGAGAAACACAGAGAAAUAAACAAUCAAACAAGAACCAAUGAAUUGUUUUUAAAGAGCAAAGGCGAAGCUGUCAGCAAGCAAUCUUUGAGUUAUAAUAAUAUAUGGUGAACUGAAUCGAUAGCUGUUCAUCGAGGUAUCUGAAUGGAUUGCAUCGGACCCAGAGGGUAAGGUCUAACCUUGUAUGUAUGAGAUCAAGCACAAACCAUUUAGGGAAAGUUUGAAGUCAGACCAGAUGUGAGAGCGGGGCCUUCCAAAGGGAAGAGAAUUCAGAGAAAAUGAGGAGUAAAAGAAGAGCAAAAAGAACAUUGGUAAGGCAUGGAUUCAAGGCUAGCUUUGCAAGUUCCCAGACUUCACUAGUGGCCAUGGACUUACCGAUGACCUCAGAGCAUGUCACAGUACUGACACAUCUUCAGCAAGUACCUGAGCAAGGGAAGGGAAUGGAGGAAUGCAGGGAAACAAGGCACGUGACAAACAGUAGUCAUAUCUGUCUCACCACUGCCUUGACACCACGUUACCCUUUUCUUAGAGAAGCUAAGACCCUUAGAAAUUAAAUGGUCUGAAAGCUUCCAGAAUCUAACUACACCCUGUUGCCAAAAUUACCUUUCACCAACAGUGAGUAAACUCUGUGAUCAAUAAACAACAAAAGUUACAACGAGUCUGGAAAAGACCAAGGAGGUUAGCCUAAGAUAUCACCUUUUGCCAGGUAAAUCCAUCCAUCCUGGAGAGACUCCCACUGUCUUCCAAAAUUCCUACCAAUCAAAGACUUCUCUACACUACCCUCACUAUGCCAAGAAAUAAUGUUGGUGGCUAAGAACUGCCAUUCUAUGUAAUUCAACUAACAGGUGUGAAAUCUACAUUGUGGUGCAGUCUGUAUAAGUAGAGUUGAGUCACAGAGGAUUCCAAGGGCAGGAGAAGGCAAGCACCCUGGGAUGAUGGACAAGGCUCUGAAUAUAAAGGGCUCCAGGAUAGCCCUAUGUGCUUCCGGGGUGUGAAGGCGGACUUCUCCAGCUUAAGGUCCGGGAGCCUAGAACCCUGCCUAGUAUAUGGAAUACCUUCACUCAAAAGGUCUGUUGUACUGAGGAAGGCACAAAGGCUAGAAAGAAAAUGGUGCAGAGGAGUGGGUUCACAAUGAGCAGGGCCAGUGUCUAUCACAGUCAGAAAUGAUGAUGUUAGGGUGAUGCAGUCAAAAGUCCUUUCUCUCAGGUGCUCCUGCUUGGGAAGAAGGCUGUCUGAUUCAUUCUUGCCAUUUUUUUCCAGAUGGUUAGGCAGAACCAAGGAGAAGAUUUUCUGUUUUGCCCCUCCAGGUGGAACAUUGGGUCCUCUCCUCUUCAAGAGUUUCUCCCAUCUAUAAGUCACAGAACUCUGCACCACUCUAACUACCUUUAAAAGGAUUAUUUUUAAGUUACGUGUACCUGUGCUUGUCUCUGUGGAGGCAUGUGCACAUGGAUACAGAUGACUGAGGAGGCCAGAGGAGGACAUCAAAUCUCCUGGAGGUAGAGUUGCAGGAACGGGUGCUGGGGACUGAACUUGGGCUCUCUCCAUGAGCAGAAUAUGCUUUUAACUGCUGAGUCCUCCCCCAGUCCUACUAUUGGCUCUUAUGCCUUAACAAACCACUUUCAUGCCUGUUAGCAUAUGGAGUCUUACAACUGUCCUGUGCUGCGGGUAUUUCUUAGGUCGGACGUGGUGAGUAAGAUCCUUAGCUGGAGGUGGAGGCUGCAGGUGUGGCUUCUGAAAGGCUCCCUGGGGUCAGCAGUUUUCCUGGCUUAUCUGUGUAGAACUGAUGAAAUCACAAAGUCCCCAGGCAUGAAAACGGGCUGUACAGGAGGCAGUGAGUUGUGCUCAUUUUGAAGAUGGCAGGGAUGUAAGUCCAGAAAGGCAGUCAGCCUGUAAGAGCAAGAAAAGACCUGGGAACAGGAGCCUUCUAAGUCUACCAGAAAGAACAUGGGCUGCCGGCACACUGCCUGCAGCUCAGAUACACAGCUCUGAGUUAAUGGCUUCCUGAAAUCCGCAUAUCAACCAGUUAGAUAAGCUCCAUUCCAUAUCCAGGCACAUCAGGCUGCUUGGCAGUUGGCUCUUUCUUGUUUUUCUUUUUUAAUUAAUUGGUUGUGACAGGGUUCUUCUAUGCAGCAUAGGGUUGUCUUGAAUUCACAAUCACCUUCUUCAAGACCUCCACAGUGCCAGGAAUUACAGGCAACUACCAGCAUACCUAGCUCAGAUGUUUCUGGAAACUGAGCCUGUUUCUAACACAGCUUCAUCUUUGUUACAGGACUUUGUGUGUGCCCUUCAAAUUCAUUAGAAGCUGUAACAGCUUUAUUUAUCUAUUAGUUACAUCUGUUCCCACCGGAAUACAGGUUCCUUCAGAAGACAUAGGCCCUGAAUGCACUCACCAUGGAGCCCCUACUGCCUACAACACUGUCUGGCAAACAGAAAGUUGUCCCGUUUUCGAAAAGACUCACACCUUCUGCUAUGAUUACACUGUAGCUGAGGGAAACCAGAAACCAAGAUGGUGGUAGAGUGUUCAUGUAGAUCUUAAAGAAGACUUGAGGUGGGAUGGAGAAGAAAGGACAGCACCAAUCCCUGACACAGAGUCGUCCCCCCCAGCCCCCCCCCAGCCCCCCCUGCUUUUCCCUGAAGCUGGAAGCUCAGGUCCCUUGCAGAAUCUGCCAUGAAGCUGUCUGAUUGCUCCUUUCUCCUUUUCAACAAGCCUGCCUCCCAGCCCCUUAAGCACUUUGUUUCCAUCCUGUAUCUAAUUGCUUUUGGGUAAUUAUAUCAUUAACUCUUUGUAAUGAAUAAUAAAAAAUAAAUCACAUUUGUGUAAAGCUGUGUAGCAAGGUGCCCGAGUGAGCAAUUUUCAGCUCCUUUCCCUUCCUUCUUCGUCUUCACUCUCUGCCUUCUUGAAAGCCUCAGAAUUAGAAUGCCAGCCAAGUGGGGACACAAAACACGGAUACUUAAAGUGUCCCUGGGUGAUGAUGAUCUGCGAGGUUUGGAAAUCACUGACCUAGAGGAUCAGAGUCCUCAGAGACUAACAGGAAAAUGAACUACAAAGCAUUCACGUUGACUUACUUCUUGCCUCUGAAUCGCUCCAGGGAGAGCGUUCCUUCUCAGUAAUUCUAGGGCUGGGGCUGUGAUUUGGAAUCCACAGGAUGGGAAGAUGAUAGGAAAGGACAAUACCUGGGAGGUGCCCGCAUUUGUAACUAAUGAGUGAAUACUCAUUUGAAGGUCACCCGAGUCAGGAGAGUGGGAAGGAGAGUGUGGGUGCCAAUCUAGAGCUCAGGCCAGUUUCUACAAGGGGCAAGAAUGAUCUCACGGUCUGUGUCAUGAUGUACCCAGAACAUAGGUCUCGCACAUUAGCCUUGUAGAGAUCCCAAGUCCUAUUUGGGGUCCUGAGAGAGCCUGGCUUCCUAAAUUGCUCCCAGAUAAUGAGGUCAUGUCCACUGAGCAUGGAGGAGCCUCAGUGGUCUCAGAUCUUGAAGAAAUGAGCAGAGCAGAUUUCCAGGGACAUCAGAAUAUGCAUGUAUGGUGUGUUUCUGACAACAUGUAGGAAAUGUUCAAUACUCCAGCAAUUACGAACUUUCUGCUACAAGGCAAGCCACCAAACAGGUUUCCUUUAUUAAUGGGAAGAAAAUUCAUGGGUUAGUCCAGAGUCUAUUGCUAGCUAAAGGUAAAAGCAUUUAAGAGGUACAUAUGCACAUGUGUUGUAGGACCAAAAUGUCUGUGAAUAUGUUCCAAAGAAGCACUGUCUUAUUAUAUUGUCUUAUUUCAAGUCUAACUUUCAGCUUCUCACAGGUCACUUGUUAGUCACAGGAUGCUCAUCUAGUAUAUAAUUAUGAUUGGUGGCCUCCACUUUACACACUGAGGUAUUCUUCAGAAAAAGACUGCUAAAGAAAGAAGGGAAACUGAGGCACCCUUCAUUUUGUGCUCAGUUCAUAUUCAAGUCUGCAAAGUAUUUAACUGACUUGAACGUAGCCUGUGUGCCAAGAAUCCUGCCCUGGGUGCUGCUUGGACCAGCAUUCUGUUUCUACAGACAGCCUUGCUUUGCCUCUGGACUCCCACAUGUCUCUGAAUUUUAAGAUGUCUCUACUAAAAUGGAAGAUAGUUUAUGGGAAGAGAAUCUACAGGGUUGUGCCCUUCCUUUUCUGCUCUCUGUGGCUCAGCAGGCAAUGCUCAACUCUACCUAAGGGACCUCAUUUUUAGAGAAGAAGCUCUAAAAUCAAGAGGAGCAAAGAAGACCAAGAAGAGAGUUGCCUAGAAAGGAGGUAGGUGAGAUGCAGGCCUUUGUGAAUUGACAACUUUGAGUUUUGGUUUUUUGUUUUGUUUCCAAAGAAAGUGUAAGCAUUCAGUCCUAAGAAUUCUAUCUCCUAGGCUGCAGUAAACAAUCACGGCUGUAGGCUCUGCUUCUCACAAAGAACCCUGCAAGAUCCAAGGCUGUAAAUUGGAAUUCUGUACAGCUCUGAGGGAAAGCACUCACGGGUGCCAGGGCGAAGGGAAGGAUCAGUUCUCCUAUUCUUUGCAUGCCCAGUGUCAGACUCAGUGAAAUGUGAGCUGAGAUCUCCACCAGGGCAGGGAAACCGAAGCUGCGGACCUGCAGUAUACAUAGUGAUAUCCUCUGUGGCACCACAGCUGGCACGGCCGGUCUUAUGGUCACUCGCUUGCCUAAUGGGUGUGGUGACCAAGAGCUUCUGAAUGAGGUCACUCAGAGACCUGAGCUGACCCACAGGCUAGCUGAAUCCAUCCUUCUAAAUCACUCUCUGCUAAGGAGCUCGCCUUCUAUUCUUGGACGCACUUGUGCACAGGGACAAUCAAGGAAGAUUCUGAUGUCCAAGACGGUGAGUUAGAUGCCCAUUUCUGACUGUCAUGAUCUCUUACUGACCUCAUGGCUGGAAGUAAGCUCUCUCUGGGUUCUUGCCUCAAUGUGCCAGUGACAAUAGUUGUCCAUCCCACGAGGCAGGGACCAAAGGCAUUUUCCAAAGGCAUUAAGAGAAUUUAUGUGAGUUGUAUAUAUGUUCAGGAGACACUGAAAGUCUUUUUCUAGUAACCACAUGUCUGUCAGAAUCUGCACAUGAUUGACGUUCUCUUGGUCUGGAUGUUCCCCCAUGUCUUCAAUACCUCACACAUUGCCUGGUAUCUAGUAAGAGUUUAGUGGUGUUCUGUGAACCAGGAGCAGAACUCAUCCCUUGGCUGGGACACUUUCAACACUCCACAUCACCCUGGUUCUGUGGCCGCCUGGGACACUGUCCCAUGUGCUUAUGGCUUCCACCCUGUAAAGGGGACACUGAAUUCUAAUACCAUGUCAGUUUUAGAGCGUAGUUCAAAGUAAGUAAGAGUGGUUUCAGAUUCUCUUCAGAAUCACUCGGUGGAAAAGGGCAUCUAAGAAAUAGUCACCGUGACCCUAAUGAGCAGCCCUGGUUUGGGCUGAAGAACAAUGUGCUGCUCUGAGGAAGAGAGAGAGGAUACCACAGGCUUCACAGGAAAACACAGGCUAGGAGUAACCUCAUCAACUGUCACAGUUCACACAUGACUGUUAUCAUCUUGUGGGCCGCUGAUUCCCUUCCUAUCUAAGAUUUAACAACUUUCCUCUCCUGUUCCCGAUUCCCAGCAUUCCUGUGUUGGACACUGAGUUAGGAUGGGGAGAUAGGACCAUGUCUGUCCUUGGUCGGAAAGAGGAGUGUAUCAACCAGUAAUUAUGUACUAGUGGGCCCCACACAGAAGAACCACAUCAGAAGAGCAGAAAGAACGUCUAAUGUUGGCUUUGUCUCUUAGGGAGUCAACUCCAGGUUCCUCAUCUGUAAAGUGUUGAUAAUAACACAUACUUUACUCAUCAAAUAUGAUUGAGCUGUUUUAAAUGUUUACUGGGAUAGUCCUUGGUGCAAAAUCCAAGAGGACUCCAUUUCUUCUUCGUCAUCGUGAUUGUUGCACACAUUCAAAAAAGAGGGAAGGAAAGAGGAAGGAGGAGGGAGAGUGAGAGAGUACAUUUGUGUGCACAUACUGGUGGAAGGACAUGAGAUGAAGAGGGGAUGAAAGGUCACAUAUCAUAGAAGAUCACAUGGUGUCAGGAAUCUCAUGCAGGAUUCCCCAUGAUUCAUAGAAGUGAUUAAAAUAUGAAGUCUAGAGGCAGCUUCCUCAGACACUCUCCGUUUUGGGCUCCUUUGUCACCUCUAUGGCUCCUUUCUCUCUUCUAGUUCUUGGAAGAACAGGUGAUGUUAAUAUUAGUUGACUCCUAUCCCUUUAUUGGGCCCUUAGUUCACAUGAGUCCCAUCUCCAUAAUUUAUCAAUGCCACUUGAUAAAACAUUCUACUUGAGGCCAUUAAGCUACAACUAAGGAAGAAAUGGCCUCAUGAACUUUUCUGAAGGGGGAUAAUGAAUUGUCCUUAAAUAACCCUAAAAGGUCAGUGUUCACACGGAUUUCUAGGCCUAUAAUCAAGGAAGCAACCAACCAGAGAGGAGUAGGGAUGGGUCCAGACAGAUUUCAUGGUUAUUUAAGCAAAAGCCCCUCAUCUAUGAGCAUUAGAUGGUCUUAGCUACACUAUGGAGAGCCUGUGUGAAAAUCACUCUACAUCUCCAAAUUUGCUUCUUGGGCAUUGGUAGGGCAAGUGACAUGGGACAGAUGAGAACUGGGUGACUGUAACUAGGGAAAAGGUCUGACCAUAGCUAGACCAAUGUAUCCCUUUUACAGGCCAUGUCUGCAGAUUGGAAGAUGAGAGACAAGUUCUAAGGACCAUGUCCUGGGUUAUCAUUCACAUUUAAAGAAAUCUUAAGUGGAUGGAUAGUCUCUGCCUGCUCUCUAUGGCAGAAGCAGUCUGUGUUACUUAUGACUCCCGCGGCUCUUGAGAUGUUACUAAUAGUGAAAUUUGAGGCAGUAUGUGAAGGUCCUCCAAAGAGAGAGGCAUAAAAUGCCCUCAAUCAUCUCCUCUUCCCUUGCCUAUACAUAGAUCAGAAUGGGUUCUUGUAUUAUAUUAGACCCAGAAAUAAUAUGAGUCUAGCCUUGAGGCCAAAGAAGAAAGUAACGAAAGCCAAAGGCUUCUUUAGGGACACCUACUUGUUAGGACUCAAAGAGCUUAGAUCCUAGUUGUAACUUCCCCGAAGGCAGACUUAGAGUAAGAACUUUUGGUCGUCCAUGUCUCUCCUCCAUUCCCAAAGUGUACAAGGAUUUCAGUCUCACCACACAGAGGGAACAUGGAUUCUAGGCCUCCCACUGGGAUCCAGGAGGAGCCAUCCUUCUGUUGCCAUACUGACUCCAAAGCUAUGUGGAACGGGAAUCUGCAGUGUUCAAGGGUUCCUGCUGGGAAAUGGAAGACACCUAUGGUGCUGCUGUCUCUGUAUUCCUAGGAUGUAGAGUCCAGUUACAAAGAGAAACUAAGACAAGCAAGAUUGUUCAUGACAGUAAACCCAGCUUUGGGGAGGCUGAGACAGGAGGAUUACUGUAAAUCUAAUGCCAGCUGGGCUAUUUGUUGAGUGAGUACUGAAAUAGCCUGGACUACACACUGAGACUAUAUCUCAAGAAUAAAAAAGAUGAAAAGUAAAAUUGUUGUGAUUUGAAAAUCACAGCAGCUGAGGAAACAGUAAGCAAGCAGAGCCAGCCUUCCAAAGGCAAGGGUUCUGGUUCUGCUGAUGCAACCCAGCACUUGGGAGGCAGAGGCAGGCGAAUUUCUGAGUUCGAGGCCAGCCUGGUCUACAGAGUGAGUUCCAGUUCCAGGACAGCCAGGCCUACACAGAGAAACCCUGUCUCGAAAAACCAAAGGAAAAAAAAAAGAAAAAAGAAAUACUAGAGAGCCAGGUGUGGUGCUGUAUGCCUUCACCAAGCACUUGGGAGGCAGAAGCGUGCAGAUCUGUGAGUCUGAGGCAAGCUUGUUCUACAGAGCUAGUUCCAGGUUAGCCAAGGCUAAUCAGGGAAACCCUAUCUCACCAAUACCCCAAAAGAAAAUAAUUGAAAAACUUUAUAGACUGAAGGAAUGGCUCAGUGCCUAAGAACACUGUCUGAUCUUCCAGAGGAACCAGGUUCAAGCACCCACAUCCACAUGAAAGCUCACAGCUAUAACUCUAGAUCCAGGGAAGCUAAUAUCCUCUUCUGGUCUCUGUGGACACUGAAAAUAUGACAGAUGACGGCAGAACCCCAGAGGCAUAAAAAUUAAUAAACCGUAAACGAAGAAAAAAAAUCUUAGAAAAAGAAUAUACUCGAAAAACUUUACAUUGGUAUUGAACAAGUACAGAUUCUAUUGUCACUAUUUCCUAGCCAGUAUUAUGGUUUAUAUAGCAUUAGCACUGUAUUACAUAUAACAAUCUGAAGAUGACAAAAUGUACAGGAGGGUUGCAUAAGUUAUGCAUAAGUGAUAUGCAAAUGCCAUGCCCUCUUUUUCUAUGGAAUUUGAGCACCUGUGGAGGUUGGUGCCCUUGCCUUGGAGGGAAGGCCUGGAACUAAUAACGCUCUUUGCAUGCUGAAGAAAGAGACUCCACUCUAUCAAGGGUCAGAUGACAAUGAUUUUUCAAAAAGACUUUAAAGGUUUUGUUUAUGUGUAUGUGUGUCUCUCUGUGAAUGUGCAUAUAAGCACAGUGGCCUGUGGAGGCCAGAAGAGGGCACUGGGUCCCCUGGAGCUGGAGUCCUGGGUGGAUAUAAUGUACCCAGUGUGGAUGCUGAGACUGAAAUUUGGAUCCUAGGCAGGAACAGUAGGUACUUUUACCCACUGGACCAUCUCUGUAACCUUGGGAUUUUGUUUUAGAAUGGAAAUUAAAGAUGGCUUCAUGCAGAAUAUUAUGCUUGAGUCAGAUUUAGGAGAUGACGGGACAAGUAUCUCAGACAGGCUAGAUACAGUCAACCUAGGUAUAUAUUAAUUCAUUCAGUACCACAGAACCUGUCUCAUGGGCAGGGUACCAAGGAUGAAGUACAGGAUGAGGUACAAGGAUGAACACAGACACGUCCCUCCCCUUAAGAGCUGAGAGUCUCAAUGUGGUCCAAUUCAGUGUGUAAUUACCAUGGCAGCAGAGUUAUCACCCUCAAGCUUGGGUAAACAGCUAAGCCUGUUGAUUAGGAAGAACAUCCCAGCAAAGACACCAUUUCAGUGGCGCCUAAAGGAUUCCAGUACGAGAGAAGUGAUGAACAGUUGAUCAUGGUGAAGGAUGGACACCAGCAAACACACAGAGGAGUGAAGGCACUGGGUGUAUGUGGGGUCAGGGAGAUGGAUCACAGGGUGUACGGUUCUAACACGACAGGAUGAGGUUGGCGGAGAGAUGACCAGACCCAAAUGCCAUGUAGACAUUUUGUGGAGGUUGGGAGCUGCUGAUAAGCACCUGGGUUCCACAAGGGUUGCUGAGGGCAAGGGCUCGCCACUCUAGCAGGAGGUGGUUGGCAGGAAAAGGAUGGAGCAGUACAGCCUAUUAGUCAGAGCAGGCCUGAUGUACAGCCAUCAUACAGAGCUUAGUCUCCUGCAGGUUCUGUGUUUGCAUCUGCAAAGUAGGGAAUUAGAAGCACUGCUUGGUAACUAUUCUAAGAAGGUAGCUCGGACAGGUACAAACAUAAGGCAAAAUGCCUGAUUUUGGCCCAUGAUUUUUCUCUAUCUAAAGUGGAGAGGUUUUUUGCUGCUGUUACUUUGUUUUGUCUUGCUUUUUUUGUUUGUUUGUUUUGUUUUCUGUUUUUUGUUUUCAGACCAGAACACAGAACGUCAUGCUAACAGGUCAGCCUAUAUGCUCAGGCCAUGGGUUUUCUUCUGUGGUGCCAUUUCAGUGAUUGCCCUGUAAACACAAAGUCUUUUCUAGGAUGAACUGCACAGUGCUGUUGAGCUACUUAUGAAAGGGGACUGAUGGGCAUUGUUUUCAUUUGGAGUUUGCAUAGCGUGUUCACAGCUGAGAUGGAAAGUUGCCAUAGUUACCUGUGAGAACUGCUAAACAGAGCAAUCACUGCUAAAAUCUAUCUAUCAAGGUCAACUAGACAUUUCCAAUCGCUGCCAAAUGAUUUCUGCCCAGUGGAAGUUAAUGAAAUGACUAAAAGAAGUUGAAAACAAGGUUAAUGUGGACACACUUUGAGUAUAUUUAUGUAACCAGCCAUUUGCAAGUGGAUCUUCCCCGCUGGAAACUCUGCAGUAUAACAAGGCAUCUGGAGGGGAAGUUUAGAGUAACAACACAUUUGGAAUUUGGCACCGAUCACUGCCUUCAAAUCCAGCCCAUCAUUAACAGCUUCUGUAGAGUGUUGUUCCUCCUCCAGGGGCUAUAAAAGCAGACCAAACCUUCCUCAAUAGUAACUUCCUUUUUCGGUCAGCUGUUCUUGCUGACUUCCCAUUCUAGGGGCCCACUGUUUUCACUGGCUGUGCUGACCUUGAGAACAGCGCAGACCACUUGCAUUAGAGUGGUCCAGGAAGAGGAAGGGAAGACAGACACCAUCACAUGAUGUCAUCCUUAGCUCAGUGCUUGUGAAAUUGUUAUGUGCAUACAGGUCACCCGGAGGUCUGGUUGACCCAGAGACGUUGAUUCAGAAGGUGUGGGGUGAGGCUACUGAGUCUGACUCUUAAACAUUGCCAGGAGCUUUCCAAACUCCUGGCUCACAGAUUAUAUCUUAAACAGCCAGGCCCCAGUUUCUCUCUUUAUGUGUCUGUUGGAAUCACUUUCAUUCUUCCUGGUGCUUGGUACACACUUGUUCUUUCUCAUUCGCGUGUGUGUUACAGCUGGGAAAGAUAUGUCUUCCACUCUCAGGCCUACCUACCAGUGCACAGCAUAGAGGCUUCCUCAGAAUCUUUUUAAAGAUCCAUACUUUCAUUUUACAAGACCACGCUGAACAAACAAUAGAUCAGCAAAUAAGUGUUCAGGCUACAUUUGGAGUGAGUGACAUGUUUUUGUCCCAUGGUAAAGUAGCAUUAAUCUUUGGCCCAUAGAAAAUGCAGGACACGUCUUUGUUGAAUGAACUAAAUUAAAGCAAAACAACAUAUGUCUUAGCUUCUAACAUUCUUCUGAUAAAACGUAGAUUUAUACUUUAAGUUAUGAUAAAUAUUUAAUUGCUUUGAAAAAUCAUACUUAUUAUAUAUUUGAAAUCAACUGAACUUUUGUCCAAAUAUUAUGACCUCCAGAUUUUACUUGCCUGUAAACUAAUCUAUACUUAUUCCCCUACAAUUCUAUUUGACAUGUCUGAAUACUUGAUAGCAUAUACAUUUUAUCACUCUAUUCCUGUGAAUGGCAGGUGCCUACUAACUCAGCCAGGGUUGUCUUUAUUUCCUCUCACUAGGAGAGGUAAAUAGAAGUGAAUACUAUGGAAAGUCAUAAAUACCACUGACUACUACUUCCUCCUAGACCACUCAGGUAUUAGGAGACUCAAUAGCAAGCAUUCUUCUUAGGUGAAUUUUAGACCUCUGCAGCCAUUAGCUCCAGAGGUCACUAGUUAAAUAACUGUGGACAUUUAUACAAUGGCGAAUAUCUCACUGAAAAAUUAUAUACUUCCUUUGAUCACAUCUUAGCAUCUGUGCCUCUGAGUUAAUUUGUAUCACUACAUUUUAAAGAGACUGGAAUGGAGACUUAGUGAUGUUUGUUUUCUUAGCUACUAGGUUGCAAAGGUGAGUUCUUUUGCUAUUUAUUUUAUUUUUAACUUCUUAAAACUGUGAUCAGGGCUUUAUGAUAUUUUUAUGUUAGGGAUAGAACUAUAGCUGAAAAGCAGGAGAUAACAUAACACAAUGUGCUUAAUUAAAGUGCAGCUCUACUUAUAAUUCCUGUAGCUUUUUCUCCCCUUUAGAAAUCGCCUUGCUUUUUUUUUCUAACUCUGGAUGAGUGACUUUUCCGGUACUCUGCUGAGUUCUUCGUUCUUGACUGAGAUAAGCUCCACUGGAUCAAAGCACCAUGCCUUCAGCAACGUGGCUUUCUUUGUCACUGCCCAGGGCUGAGGUUGGGGAAGCAGGUGAGAGUAUACAUGGAUGUAACGGGACUUUGUGACCCCAGUGCUUGAAAGGGAGCGACAUUUUCCUGGCCCCUUCUACCAUAGUGCCUCAGAGAAUCAACCCACCUGGGAUUUCUUGGCCAGUUGUUUUUUUCUAGACAGACUUUCACUUAUCUUUCAGACUGACCCUGGCCUGUAUAAAUAGUGGAGCAUGACCUUGAACUUCUAUCUACCUUGCCUCUACCUCCUUGUAUAGUUUUACAGAUGUGUGUUACCACACCCGAGUUAUAGGGUGCUGAAGAGCAAAUCCAGGGCUUCAGGCAUAGAAAGCAGACACUUUCCUAACUGGCCCUUUGGCUAAAUAUCUCCUUUUGGAUGUACCUGAAAUCAAGUGGCCUCACUGGGUCAGGCAAUGUAAAACUUUAGAGGUUUUGUUGUUUUGUUUUAUUUGUUUCAAGACAUGAUGUAGCUCUGGCUGAACUCACAGCGUAGACCAGGCUGGACUCAAACUCUCAAGAGGUUUUGUGUUGCCUUUUAUCUAUCUUUCCUUCUUUCGGCCUCAGACCAGAGGAACCAUUUAACCAUAACAGCCACAGUCACACUGUCCAGGUUACACUAAAGAACCAUGGAACCUGAGCCCGAGUAUAGUAACAUUAGUAGAGUUUUGUUGCCUAAAUUAUAACAGAACUAAAUUUUGGUACCUAAUAUAAAAUGAGAACCAAUGUAGGACCAAGGCUUUACUGAAUUCACUAAAAUGGGGCAUCUAAACACAUUCCCAGCGUCAUCUUGCUGACCCAGCACAGGAAGGAGUCUAGGACUUAUAGAUGGUAGCAUCUUUUAAAGAAAUCCAAGCCAUACCUACCUGAGAAUCUAUAAGGUAAAGCACGCUUUUUCUUUUUCCUCUCCAAAAGAUCCCUCCUCUGUUCUUCUUGCAGAAUGAGCCCUAUAAUUGCUUAAUUCACCACUUCCUUCUGACAGACACAGUUAUAUGUGUAUAUGCAGUGCACACAUACAUAAACAUGAGUCAGCUAACAACUGACAAGAAAUUAAAUAUUUAAAGAUGUUGCUGGUCCUGUAGCUAUCACAAGCAUCUAGUUAGCAUCUCAUAUUGGAAGGAAAUCCCCUAACUAGCUCCUUUCUCCCUGCCCCCACUGCGCUCCUGAUUAUUUACAUAAGGGCUUUAAGCACAUAGUGUUAUUUCUAGCUUUCACAUCCAAUGUUGGGGAAAAGCGGACCUUGGUGAAUUUUAAAAUUUCAGGGUUAAUAGGAUAAUUCUGGAAUGGUAAGUAUUUAUUUAGCUUUUAUGUAAGAAAAUGCAGGAAUUUAAUUCUCUUCUGACAGAAGACACAGUUCAUUCCCGCCCCCGCCCCCCCCAUAAUAGGGACAUUUAAAAGUGCAUGAGGGCCCACUUUCUGCUUCAUUUCCUGUAAAUAACUUUACACUCACUUCAAAGUUGACCUUUCACCCAGUUCAAAAUUCAUGUUGCUAAGAACUUGUUGCGGGAGGAGUGAAGCAGUGGGGGUGGGAUAAAAUAACUGUAUCCUGCUUUAUUUACUUUGUCCUGAACACCUUUGAGGGUCUAUAAUUUCCGGGGAUGCCCUGGCAGGCUGAGUGAAAUGUCUGCCAAAACUCACAUCAGACUAGUGCCCUGUUAUUUUUUUUUCCACUGCUGUUUUAAAAAGCGCCAUUAGGGAAGCUUAGUUACAAUAAUUCCCUCCCAGUAUCGUCAAUUUUCCAUGAAUUCAGGAAGGCCACAGCAUAGAUCUCAAAUACACAGAAAAUUCUACAUGGAAACUGGCUUUCAUGGAGAGGAAAUUUACAUCUACUUAAUAUUACAGAAAAUCACACAAGUUAAGUAUAAAAUGCUAACUAGCGAGUUGUAGAAUGAAAUCAAGCUAGACCUAUUUACUGGAAACAGAAUUAAAAUUAUCGUGCACUUCCUUGGUUACUGGAGGAAGCAAGAAGCCUUUAAAAAUAGACACUAUUCUUCCUGGCCGUUGUUUAAAAUUCUGAUUCUCAACACUGAAAUUUCUUACUAUCUCUAACAUGCCUGAACCCAAAAAAGCACAUCCAAAUGUUUUAGGAAAAGCUUUAGGGAAAAUUUAAUUCUCUUCCCUUUUCGGCAAAGCCUUUGAAUAAAGGCCUAUGUUUACUUUAGUCAGUGUGCUUUGAGAACUGUAAGACACAUUUAGUGGGAGCCAGAAAGAGUUCCUUCACAUAUCCUAGGCUUUGGGAUUCCUUUGUUUCUUGCUUCUCAAAUGAGAGGAGAUUAACAAGUAUUGUGUUGUUAACAGAACCGUUGGUCAUUCCGGCUCCAUUUUAAUGUACCACGAACAAACACAGUGUGCAUGAGGGUGGAGGAUAGAGAGAGACAGAAGAAGAGUGGGGAAUAGGAAGUGUGGACAUUUGUGGUCAAUCACCUAGAUGAGGAAUAUCAUUGUAAACAAUUUAUAACAUUUCAAGGCUGGCAAGAUGGCUCAUCAGUAAAGAACACAUGCUGCUUAUCUAGAGGAUCUGAGCUCCAUUCCGAGCACCCACCUAAUGGCUCAUAACUGACUGUAACGCAAGUUCCAGAAAUCCAGCGCUCCUUUCUGGCCUCUGAGUGACCAGACAUACCUACAUGCAGACAUUCACAUAUACACAAAACAUAAAACAAACAAACCUUUAACGAAAGAUUGUGCUAAAUCUGAAAAUACUAAAUCCAUUGGUCUUUAGUAUUUGACAUCUUUAAAAGAAAAAAAAAACUAAUAUCAAAAGAAUCAAAAUGCAAUCUCUCCUCAUGAAAUUAACAUUGUCUUAGUUUAGCUCCCAGAAUUCCAAUUCAUCAAAAAUAGUGUCUUUAUGACUGUCAGGCUGUCGGUUUUCUGACAUCUUAUUUUAAACAGAAUGGUUAGGAAGUGGUUGUGGCAACUAUGGGCCAACCUGAAAAUACUAACAUCCAUCUCUACUAAUAAAACGAAGGUGUCUUCCUUUCGUCACUUCAGAACCUUUACUCUCACCAAACAGGGCACAUCCUACGAGGUAAAGGGAAGAGUGCAGAAGAAGACAGUGUAUUGCACUGAAUACCAAGGAUAGCUGUGUUUCUGAAGCCCAUGGAAAUGUGUUCCUCUGUCAACCUGAAUAAGCUUUGGUCCCCACACAGCCGCCUGAGCUCAUUAGGGUCUCUGCACUGGGUCUCGUGUUUCUGUUGAAGGGCUGUGGUCAAGGACGUUAUUUAUGGGCUCUGUAGAAGGGGCACACAAUGACUGUUCUUUAUCUUGUGUUUCACCAGGCUGCUCAGGAAAUUUAUGAAAAAUCCAUUGUAGAAUGCUC